rnacentral:rRNA from 1 species
UACGUAGGUGGCGAGCGUUGUCCGGAAUUACUGGGCGUAAAGGGCGCGCAGGCGGCGCGUUAAGUCCGGGGUGAAAUCCAUCGGCUCAACCGGUGGGGGACCUUGGAUACUGGCGCACUGGAGUGCGGGAGAGGGAAGCGGAAUUCCACGUGUAACGGUGAAAUGUAUAGAUAUGUGGAGGAACACCGGUGGCGAAGGCGGCUUCCUGGACCGUAACUGACGCUGAGGCGCGAAAGCUGGGGGAGCGAACAGGAUUAGAAACCCUAGUAGUCC